rnacentral:pre_miRNA from 1 species
UUGACAGAAGAGAGCGAGCACACAGAAGCAUUUGGUAUAUAAUAUAUAUACUAUUUCUUUUGUGUGCUCGGUCUCUUCUAUCAU